CCAGGAUGGACUCACAUCCAAGUUUCGAUUCAGUUGAAGAUUCCUAGGAGAGUCGUCAUUUCUAUCAGGAGAUGGAUUAUUAUUGUUAUGUUAUGUUGCUUUUUCUUACGACUGUGUUUUGUUAUCGCAGAUUGAAAUAGGAAAUGGAAUGUUGGGAAGGGAGUUAUAUGGUCUCCUUACUGUUUUCUGAUUGGUUGUUUACUCUCUGG